CACGGGGGGAGCAAGCGUUGUUCGGAAUCACUGGGCGUAAAGCGCACGUAGGCGGAUCUUUAAGUCAGAGGUGAAAUCCCAAGGCUCAACCUUGGAACUGCCUUUGAUACUGGGGAUCUUGAGUCCGGGAGAGGUGAGUGGAACUGCGAGUGUAGAGGUGAAAUUCGUAGAUAUUCGCAAGAACACCAGUGGCGAAGGCGGCUCACUGGCCCCGGUACUGACGCUGAGGUGCG
rnacentral:rRNA from 1 species